CUGCUCAAAUAGUGGUCACUUGGCAGUGUUCUCCUGAAAGGAAGCCUGUGAUGUUAUUACAGCCUGUCACCACCAACGGCCUUCAUGCUGAGUACCUUGGAGGAACUUCUCUAAAAAAGAAGACUGAAGAUGAAAAGCCAUGAAAACUUUUCGUCAUUCACCAGUGAAUGUGCUAUAUAUCAAGUGAGAGCAGAUGGAGCAAGAAAUGUUAUACCAGAAGAACACAGAACAUAACUUCCUCUUUCAUUGGCUCAAGGGAGUCCCACUCUUCCAGAGCUUCUCCUCCUUGUUGAGUGAGAUGAAGACUCACCAAACAAAGCAAUCUGAAGUACAAGCAGUAGUAUAUAUUCCUGGGGCAAGCCAUCUUUACUGCUAAUUUGGCGGAGCAGUGACAGCUGCUGAUGGGGAAGAGGCAUCCCAUCUGUGAGUCCCCCAUUUAUCUAAAGGAAGAUCAGCUCACCCUCUCCACUGCAGUCUGUGGACCUGAUUCUCUUCCCCCACCCAUCCACACUGUUGCUCUAUCUCCCCUUCCAAUGAUAGAUUAGUACAUAAUACAUAGAUUUUGCAUAACAUCUCAUCUUUGAAAUACUUUGAAAUCCUCUCUGGCAGAAACCGAAGCAAAAUUUGCCAGGGAAAAAGAAUCCCCAGCCUACUACUCACACCCAUUUUAAUUUGUUUUUAUAUUUUUACAGCUUCUCCAUCCUGGUCAAAUCCAGGCAUUUGUAAGAAUGGAGAUGGAGAGCAUGAGAUAUGUGCCCUUCUCUCUCAUUACACAGACACUUUUGCAUGGCUGGCUAGAAGCCUGUUUGGGGACACAAAUCUUUUUUUCUCUUCCCAUUCUCUGCCUUUUGUUGUACCUGAUCACGCUAUAAUGCAACACUGUCUUACCACAUAACACUGCAACCCAAGAUGACUGUCGCAUUUGGUAAGUUACAUCUUCUAUUCCAUUCUGCUUAAACCACUAAUCUUUCCAUGGUAAAUUUAACGCACAUCUGCUGCCUCACUAACACAACAACAUGCUGCAUUUACGUUGGGACAGUACACUUACUGCAGGAUGAUUACACUCUAUGUGAAAACAGCCAUGCUCCACACCAAGAAAGGCCAUUUAAAUGAUCAAAUUAAAGAAGGCCCAAUUAGGACUAACUUCUUUCCAGAGUUCUCAAGGGUUGUUGCAUGAACUUUGGGAAGGGAGGUUAGUCAUAUUUAUCAUGGUAACAAUAGUAAUUUACCUUAAAUCUGUACCAUGACUAUCAAUAAUAAUUAUGAUUUGUGCAUGUUUAAUUAAAGUAAAUGGAAGAAGACUUUCCCUACACAGAAUUCCUGUUUAGCUUUUACUGACUAAGAAGGACUAACCAAAGUACUCAAAAGCAUGGGCGGAAGGUCUGAAAAGAUAGAUGGGAAUUUUCUAAUCAGAUUUGUGAUCAAAUGUAAUAUUGGAUGAAGCAAGAGAAAACUAGAGGUAAUACAGGACUGAAUAAAUGGGGAAAAUAGCAUAGCAUCUUUUAAUGAAGAGUAGAAGACUGUAUCACUGAGUCUUCAACUUAAAAAAAUAACAAAGGACUAGGGCUCAUCCCUGUCAGAAACCUCUGUAAAAGAGAAAAGGAUCUGACACAUGUUUCUUAGUUUGUACAGCAAGCCAGAGGAGAGUUGGAAAUAAGGGCCUAAAUCCAAGUGCCAAAAUUAAUUCGACAUUACACUGUAAUGUGAAUUCCUCAUUCUAUGUAUUGUACAAGUACAUCUGUCUAAAAAACACCUUCUUCUAGUGCCUGGAAAGGAUAGUGACAGGAUCAAGAUAAUGUUACUUAGCAUAAUCUCUCUAUUUCUCAAAUGUUAUUUAAUAUUGUUCACAAAGAAGUGAUUUCAAACUAAACUUGCCUGCUCAGAAUAAAUUAAUUUUAGCAACCAAAGUUCAAGAUCCCCUGCCAUUAUUUUAGGAAAAUAUGCUUAGAGAGACAUUUAGAGAAGAGGUAAUACAGUGGGAAGCACAUUUCCUAGCAUUUUUCUCUUUCCUCCAUUUGGAGAAAGGUGUGCCAAAUUUACAACACAGAGGUCUUUUUGAGGCCACCCAGCAAGCUUCCAGGCUUCUGAUAUUUUAAUGGACAUUUACUCUUUAGAUGAUCUGCCAGAUUCCAAAUGCACUUGUUUUACCAUGCUGAUUUUUGUCACCCUGAGAGCCUCUUAACCCAUUCCCAAAUAGCUAAUAUCCUCAUUAUUUUCUUCCUUUCAAGACCAGAUCCUUCUUUUACUGAUAAAAAUGACAAUGGGAAGUUGGUUAAAAAAAUGUCAUAUUCCUGUUCACUGGCCUGUAAUUUAGAAGAGAAUAAAAGAUGAAAGUGUGGCAUAAAAGCCUUUAUAGACACUCUAGAUCAGGUAAGACCUCCUCCAUGUAUUUUCUGUUCCAAAAGGUUAUCCUCCUUUCUCUCUUCUAAGUUCACAGACCAAAGAUUCCUCUAUUUUAUUGUAACUGGUAAAGCCCACUCCUCAAAUGUGUGAGGUAAGUUAGAUUUCAUCUCUACAGCUCAGGCUAAUUCUUGCUUUUGAUGAGUCAGAAUGUUCAAGGGAAUGGGUGUCUGAAUUUGGAAUAUACUAGCCCUAAUGUCUUGAUCUUAUUUUUUUCCCUACCUGGGAGAAAAAAAAUGAUCUGACCUCUAAAAGGCACAGUUUCAAUACCUCCCAUAAAACAGCAUGAAAGGAUGAAGAUUGAGAAUGCUAUUCCAUCACCUUGCUCUUUAAAAAGCUUUUAAAGCCUGUCUCAUGCAUUCAUCUUUUAAAAAAGAUGCAUGAACACAACACUUCAUAUCAUACUAUACCUGGUAGGGCAAGAAUAAUAUUAAAUCAGUGCCAAAGUGAUCAGAAAUGAAAUCUGGAUCAAUGUUCUGAUCUGUUACUGUAGACUGUGCUGUUUUAGAUACAGUAGAACCUCAGAAUUACAAACACCAGAGUUGCAAAUUGACAAGUUAACCAUACACCUCCCUUGGAACCAGAAGUAUGCAAUCAGGCAGCAGCAGAGACCAAAAAAAAAAAAAAAA